rnacentral:rRNA from 1 species
AGCGAACGCUGGCGGCAGGCCUAAUACAUGCAAGUCGAGCGCACCUUCGGGUGAGCGGCGGACGGGUGAGUAACGCGUGGGAACGUGCCCUUUGGUACGGGAUAACUGAGGGAAACUUCAGCUAAUACCGUAUGUGCCCUACGGGGAAAAGAUUUAUCGCCAUUGGAGCGGCUCGCGUUGGAUUAGCUAGUUGGUGAGGUAAAGGCUCACCAAGGCUACGAUCCAUAGCUGGUCUGAGAGGAUGAUCAGCCACACUGGGACUGAGACACGGCCCAGACUCCUACGGGAGGCAGCAGUAGGGAAUCUUGCGCAAUGGGCGAAAGCCUGACGCAGCCAUGCCGCGUGAAUGAUGAAGGUCUUAGGAUUGUAAAAUUCUUUCACCGGGGAAGAUAAUGACGGUACCCGGAGAAGAAGCCCCGGCUAACUUCGUGCCAGCCGCCGCAGUAACAC